CCUACGGGUGGCAGCAGUGGGGAAUAUUGGGCAAUGGGCGCAAGCCUGACCCAGCAACGCCGCGUGAAGGAAGAAGGCUUUCGGGUUGUACACUUCUUUUGUCAGGGAAGAGUAGAAGACGGUACCUGACGAAUAAGCCACGGCUAACUACGGGCCAGCAGCCGCGGUAAUGCGUAGGUGGCAAGCGUUGUCCGGAUUUACUGGGUGUAAAGGGCGUGUAGUCGGGUUGACAAGUCAGAUGUGAAAUCCUGCGGCUUAACCGCAGAACUGCAUGUGAAACUGUUGAUCUUGAGUACGGGAGAGGCAGACGGAAUUCCUAGUGUAGCGGUGAAAUGCGUAGAUAUUAGGAGGAACACCAGUGGCGAAGGCGGUCUGCUGGACAGCAACUGACGGUGAGGCGCGAAAGCGUGGGGAGCAAACAGGAUUAGAUACCCCAGUAGUC
rnacentral:rRNA from 1 species